rnacentral:lncRNA from 1 species
AAAAUUUCCAUGGAAAAAGUUAAAGAAAUUUGAUCAUUUGAAAACUAGAUUUUUGAAGACCCAUUAUUGAAAACAAGAGAGAAAAGAGGAAGGAAUCACAUGUGCUGGAGGGUAGCUAUGCAGGCCAUGCGCACAGAAAACAGGGGAAACCUGAAGAUCAAAGUAGAAUAUUGUAGCUUCCAUCUCCCUGUAUCCAUGCUGAAUACACUCCAGGGUGAGAGUCUCCU